CCGCCCCACACCGCCUCGACCGGGACUGCGCCCCUCCCGAAACAACGGCGAUGAUGGAGGGCGCCGCCCACCUCCUGUCCGAUGGAUUCGCCGGCUGGACCCUCCCCAUGUCGGGCCGAGUAUCGGCUUGGAGGCCCCUUGGGGGCCGCCGCCGGUGCGGGAGUCCCGCGCGGCCGUGCGGGCUGGGGUGGUUAAGGCUCCGCUGAGCCGCCGAUGGGCAGGGAGAUGAGAUCCUGUUGAGGCGGUGGGGCUUGGUGCGGGAUGGUCUUUCGGAUCGAGGCCUUCCUCAUUUUCCUCGAGUUCGCUUGGCUCCUUCCCUCACAAUUGGUGCCCAGGCGUCGCCAUCGCCAUGGAUAUGCUGCAUAGCAUGGACGCAUGCCUCUCCCCCAGGAGGGCCAUGUUGCCUCAGGUGCACCCGAGGGGAGGGGGAGGCGGGUGGAGCGCCCGCAUCAGCGUGUCGUGAACCCCCUGCAUGAUGUUGAACACCUCAGGCAAAAAAAGAUGAUUGUGUUUCCGUGGUUAGGGCUGAUGUCGUCAUGCUUCAUCAGCGUCGUCAUUCCAGGAUACAUUUUCUACAAGUACGGUCUUGGGAGUAAGGAAGUAGAGAUACCUCUUCAAUCCCAAAAUUUAUGUUGUUCCGGGAAUUACCAUGAAAAGCAAGCACUGAUCUUUCUUGGCUAUCAAUAAAAUCUGUUGCGGCGGUACAUGGCUUCUGAAGUGACGAGUAAUAGUAAUCAUGUCAGGUUAAUCCAAGCUCAAUCCGUUGGUAUGCACCCCAUGGUUGGUUUUGCUUGCUUUGCUUUGUACUGGAGGUGCUCAAUGAAAUCCUUCAGUCUGUUCUUGGUCUUGGAGGAUUGCGGAAGAGGAUAUGUAGAUCCUUCCAAUCCGUAGCAAUGUACUAGAAGUUAUAAAUGGUGGUCAGCAUCAGGUAUCAUUUUUUUCUGAAUCUAGGCAACCAAAUAUAUCCUCUUCUCCGGCCCAGUGAUUCGUAGAUGAUUCAUAGUAAAGUGUCAGAGCGAGGUGAUUCUAGCAUUUGCCUCUUCUGUGGAAACUUUUAGGGACUUCGUAUCAUUCAUAAAAGGCAAACCUUCUGACUGCUUCUAUGAAUUUGUGUUGAACAGAACAUUAGGUUUCUAAAUUGUGCAGACAUGUGCAGAGAAACUAUAUAUAUAGCCAAUAAAAUUGGCAGAGGAAGGCUUAGGUGCUAAACGUUAGGUGAAGUAAGGUUGGUUUCCUAUCUUAUGUGGUUUGGCGAAAAGAAAGGGCUUCCACCACCAUGAUUAUUCCACAAAAAUCAGACUUCAUACUUGGUAAUACAUGAAGUUGCAGUCUUUAUAGAUAUCCUUUAUAGAUCAAGGAUAUACAUUAUCAUUUGAAUUCAUCUGGUGUUUUUUUACGAAAGAUGGUUGUGGCUGAAACCGCACAUCUUCAUUGAGAUUUAGAUGGACAGGAUAAGAGUGUGGAGAAAGCAUAGUAAUUCAGAUCAUAAGCCUUUUUCUACAAUAAUGGACUCAGAAAACAAAGAAAAACAUGGACCUGAAUGUCUAUACAUGAAGUAAUCAAAUAAUUCUAUACCAUGGCUUACUGAUGCAAAUAUAUUGUCUACUAGGUAGUUAUGCAAACGUCUGUUCCACCUAGGUGCUUACUUAUACACACUUGUACUUUCUAUUGUUGUAGUUAAUCGAAAAUGUUUGUUAUUUAACUUGGUUGGCGAUGACUGCACUCAGAUGGACAUCCCUAUGCUCCUUAUAUCUUGCUGGUUACCAUUAUUGUUGAUUAUUUCUCAUUUUGUUCUUUUCUGUUAUCUAAUAGGGAGUAAUAGAUAUUCUCUUACUACAUGUACAUCUAAAGGACAAAGUAGCAUGCCAUCCCUGAUUAAACAUGGGUUUUGUCUGAGAUAUAACGUUUCUAGCUGAAUGUUGUUUCAUACAAUUAAUCAUUAUUCCAGUUUGAGAGAUUAAACCCAGAUUAGUUUAUGCAUUGAAUUGGAAAUGUCACAACUGCAUCCUAAUUGUCUGCUUAAAUUCCACAGCAGAGACUUUGCCACCGAUGACACACUAUAUGCGGACGCCACAUCCUUUCUUCUGCACGCAGCACACGACAUUCCGGUUCGUUUAUGUGUGCUUCUCAGUAUUGUACAUGAGGUACCAUGAGCGGUGGUGACCCAGAACUUGCUGGCGCGGCGAAAGGGCCGGUUCCUGUGAUCAGGAUGCUGGAGGCUCUUGGGUCACAGCCCACAUGUCUGCUGGAGGUCUAGACUAGUAGGGGGAAGAAGCCCCUACUGAUCUCUACUCCUAAUGUCUCAGUAGGUUUUUUUCGUCGGGUUUUUAUUCGUCCCCCUCCCACUGGUUUUAUUAUCGCUUCUGCCCGCCCACCGUCGCCAUGGCUGUUCUGAUGCAUCAAAUCCAUCGAUCUGCUGUAACAUUGGCUGGGUGUUCUCUUCUCGACUCUACCAACACUCUGGAGUUACAAGCAAUUACAUCAGGAGCUCGAUCAAAAAUCACCUAAGAAAAACAUGUCUUUCUUAUCAACAAGGGUUGCAUGUGGAAUUUGAGGAGAAUCUGUGCACCAGCAUCCAACUCCUUAAUGUUGCUCUGAUCAUAUUGUGUAAAUAUAUUUCCAAUAAAGCAAUCGCCCGAUGGUGUACAUGUUAGAAAUAACAAGAUGUAAUCAUCAAGUGUGAGAGAUGGAAACAUCAUGAUGGGAUGGUAUGUACCGUUGUGCUCAUCAAUAGAUUUCAAUGCUGACUUGAAUCCUGUUAGGAGUUUAUCAAGAUAAUCCGGUGUGUUGUGAUGCAACCACUAAUUAAUUUGAGAGAGAACCGUGUGGAAUCAGAAGUAACGAGAUGUGACCAUUAAGUUUGAGAGAUGGCAAGAGAAUGUGAUAUGUAGUCCUCUAUAUGCACCAAUAACGCAUUCACUUUUCACACUUCUAUGGUUGGUUCAUAUGUGGUUAUUGAAGUAGGAUAAGUUCUUGAGAAGGACUCUAAUUGCUAUAGACCACGAGAUUUCAGAUGUCGCUCCCUAUUGUGUAUUGCCGUUGACAUUGGACUUGCUAUCCAGUAAGAGGGACAUUGGGAUCAUUGUUCAUCUAGAGAAUUUAGUGCCAAAUCUACGUCAGAAUAUUGGGAUGUUAAUGAUUGGAGGUGAUGUUUUUCUCUUC